UCACUGGUAAUGGGCAAAAGAACACCUUAUUGGUGGUGGUGUUCUUAUAUCCAUCAAAGGAAGAGCAGAUGGCAGUCCUUUGUUCAUUCUAGCAUGAAGCCUGGCUUGGUGACCAAAGUUGGUUUAUGCCUAGGACACAUAA